AGUCCAUGGUUCAGGCAAUUCGUGACGAAGCCCUUAAAAUGCUCCCAUGUGGCACUUAAGGUCUCAACAUCUUCUUGUUCAAAGUUCAUAAUCUCUCGACGCCU